rnacentral:rRNA from 1 species
GACGAACGCUGGCGGCGUGCUUAACACAUGCAAGUCGAACGGAAAGGCCCUGCUUGCAGGGUACUCGAGUGGCGAACGGGUGAGUAACACGUGGGUGAUCUGCCCUGCACUUCGGGAUAAGCCUUGGAACCUGGGUCUAAUACCGGAUAGAAGCCAUUUUUAGUGUGAUUGUUUGAGAGUUUUUUCGGUGUAGGAUGAGCUCGCGGCCUAUCAGCUUGUUGGUGUGGUAAUGGCCUACCAAGGCGGCGACGGGUAGCCGGCCUGAGAGGGUGGACGGGCACAGUGGGACUGAGAUACGGCCCAGACUCCUACGGGAGGCAGAAGUGGGGAAGAUUGCAAAAGGGGCGCAAGCCUGAUGCAGCGACGCCGCGGGGGGGAUGACGGCCUUCGGGUUGGAAACGCCUUUCGCUAGGGACGAAGCUUUUUGUGACGGUACCUAGAUAAGAAGCACCGGCUAACUACGUG